CUCCCGUUUACUUUUUCUUUUGUAGGUUUCGAUUUACAGCUGAUCGUCGAUCUCGUUGUAUAUUCGGCGUUUGUAUUCACCUUUGAUUUUCUGCUGCCUGCUUUUCUAUUUUGCUGAAUCCACGGCCAAUCGAUGAAGAUUUUAUAAUUUUCUUCCGAUCCUCCGUUUGAAUUUACGCUGGGCUGAUUUUUGUGCGCUUUUCUGCUUAGAUGAAGCUCGGAGAGAUCUGUUUUUUCAGAAACCAGCUGAUUCGGUGAAAUUUGUUCAUUGAUCUGCCCAUGGUAAACGAUCUUAUUCAUGCUCAGCCGAGCACGAGAGGCUUUCCAUACCAGAAAUUGUCAUUCAUCGUCUCAAAAUCUGGUGAAACUUGAUUGGUAAAACAACGAGAGAUAGUAUAAAUGGAACUCUAGGUAGUGUUGUAGUCGUAUGUAAAAAAGUGUGGUGUGAUAUUUGAGACUCUGAGAGAAGAAGAGUGGGUGAGCUGAUCGGCCUUUACCAUGUUGGGUGCGCUCGCAUGGUAGGUCACCACAUAAUAAAAGCUAUUUUUUGUGUUUAGAGGGGAGAUGGUACGGUGAUUUUUCCGGCUCUCCCCUCGUGUGCGGUGUCCUUUAUUUUUUUUCUUUACCCCUUUCCCCUUCGCCAUCAUCUACUUCAGCACUCAUAACCCCAUUAACAGUUUCGGUAUUUGGUAGCUUUGAAUGGUUACAUUUUGAGCCAAUCAUUCAAGACCAAAACAUGAUAUUAAUCCACUCCCUGAGGGCUGGGGCCGACAAAUUCACUGAUAAGGUACAAAUUAGCACUCUGCCCUUUUAUGUUACUAAUUUUCUACUUAUCUUGUCUUUAAUUCGGUAAAACUCCUUAAGUUCCAAGACCUCAGGUACAACUCAACAUCUCCUUUUACUACGGUAGUUCAUCUGAUUUACCAAACAUGCUCUGAAAACAGAGACUGUUACUCAAGAGGCAAUUAUGUUUCAAAUUUUAUCCAUCGCUUGGUAUCUGGGUUCCACGCACAUGAAAUCACGCACCACAAUAAUUAGCACAUCAAGUGCAUGGUAUCACUGCAGGCUCAUGCCUACUACCACAUUUCCUUAUGCCAUUUGUAUCUUUAUAAUUGUUAACCAAUUUAAUUCUAUCUAUUGUCUCUAUCAACCUUCCAAUCAAAACCAAUGACUCGAUGUGUUUAUCUGUUUGUCUACAAAGUUUACAUUUUGAACAGUAUGGUUUUGGCUUUUUUUGCCUUCCAUUCAAAGUCAAAGACUGAAUGGGUGUCUGGUUUUCUACAAGGUUGUACAUUUUGAACAGUAUGGUUUUUGCUAUCUUAAGCUAUUACUUUUUUUUUAUUAUAUUAAGGCUGUUGUUGUGGUUUGAUCUGAAACACCUCUAUUAGUUUUUUAUUUGGAUGGAGUAUAAAGCUUCCAGUUAGUGCCCAUGUAAGGGAAUUCCUUUCCUUAUGUUGUGAAGGCACGGCUUUGUACUUUUUAAUGUAUUAGCUAUUGUGAACCAUACUUCUUUUGAGGUUUUGCUGCUGUUUCUUAGCGAAAGGCGUGAAUGAAGUUAAUGAGAAUUAGUUUCCUGGGCUGAUUCCAUAGUUGGAUAUGGAAUAUGCUGCUACUGCUGAGUGAGCUUCUGAUAUUGAAUGAACCACCUCAAGGGUGAUUGGUUGUUUGUGUUCGAGUUUAUGUGCUGCCCAUUGAAUGGAUGAUAUUCAACUGUGACUUAUUGUAUAUUUCCAAGGUCAUGAAUGUUCCAUAGUUUGAAGAUUUUUCUCCCAUCAACUGUUGCACUAGAUUGUGAGGCUGUUCGAAAACUCGAGUCUUGAUUAAUUGAGUUCUGAACAUAGAAUUUUUAGCUCUUUUGGCUGAACUGGUUCUUUAAAUCUGUUAAACAGUUAGCUGGUUUUAAGCUUUCCUCUUGUUUCUGCUUCUGUCUGUAAACACUAUUCAGCUGGCCAAGUGUGACAUUUGAUGAUGUUAGAAGCUGCUGGGCUUGAGAAUACUGCAAUGCCCUUUGCUCCACCCCAUUGGAUGUGUAGAGGAAUCUUAAAAUGGGAAAUGAAGAUGCAAAUUGUGAUUCAAGAAGAUUAAAGUGUGAAAUAUGGACAAAUGGGAAAUUAAAGCUGAGCUCCAUUUCUGGACUAGUAUUCGAUGUAAAGAAAUCGAUUCAAAGGUUUUGUCCGAGUUUGGUGUCAUUUCUGAAUCUAUGGGCAUAAAUAAGGAGCCUCUUGAAGACGAGGAUCAUACAUAAAGUGAACUGCUCUUGAAGACAAGGAGUCAAGGACCAUACAUAAAGUGAACUGAAACUGAUGCUGAAUUGCUGCUGGAGAGGUACAACGAGUCUAGACAUCAGAAUUUUUUUUCUAUAUAUUUAUUAAUAUGUUUAUUUAAUUUGUGAAUAACAGAAAUU